UGAGGAAUAUUGGUCAAUGGACGCAAGUCUGAACCAGCCAAGUAGCGUGCAGGAUGACGGCCCUAUGGGUUGUAAACUGCUUUUAUAUGGGGAUAAAGUGGGGAACGUGUUCCCUUUUGCAGGUACCAUAUGAAUAAGGACCGGCUAAUUCCGUGCCAGCAGCCGCGGUAAUACGGAAGGUUCGGGCGUUAUCCGGACUUAUUGGGUUUAAAGGGAGCGUAGGCCGUUUGGUAAGCGUGUUGUGAAAUGUAGGAGCUCAACUUCUAGAUUGCAGCGCGAACUGUCAGACUUGAGUGCGCACAACGUAGGCGGAAUUCAUGGUGUAGCGGUGAAAUGCUUAGAUAUCAUGAAGAACUCCGAUUGCGAAGGCAGCUUACGGGAGCGCAACUGACGCUGAAGCUCGAAGGUGCGGGUAUCGAACAGG
rnacentral:rRNA from 1 species